AUGAAGGCUUCCAAACAGAGCUUCACAGGUCCAUCCUCUCCCCGCGCCAAAGAUAGUCCAACUCCAACGCAGAUGGAGAAGACGGUGGUUCUGUACCCCGGCCUCACCGUGAGCCACUUCGUCCCCAUGAUGCGGCUCGCCGGCUCCCUCCUCGAGCACGGCUACGCCGUCUCCGUCGCGAUGAUCAUCGACCCCGCCGUCAUGGGGGACACAGCGUUCGCGGCAGCCAUCGGCCGCGCCGCCGCCGCCAUGCCGUCCGUCCGCUUCCACACUUUCCCGCCUGUGGAGGACCCGCCCAGGCUAGCCCCCGGCCCGCAGUUCCUCGCGAGCUACUUCCACCUCGUGCGCCGCUACAACGACCGCCUCCACGACUUCCUCUGCUCCUCCACGCGCGUCCACGCCGUGGUCGUGGACUCGAUGUCAGUGUCAGCUGAUGCACUGGAGGUCACCAAGAGGCUCGGGAUCCCAGGCUACGUCAUGUUCACCUCCGGCGCCGCCGCCCUCGCGGCCUUCGCCCAGCUUCCUUAUGUCCUCGGGGAGGGCGGCCGAAAAAGCUUCAAGGAGCUGGGCGACGCCCCUGUCGAGUUCCUUGGCCUUCCGCCGGUUCCGGCUUCGCACCUGUUCGCCGAGGUGCUCGAGGACCCGGAGGGCGACACGUACAAGACGGCGAUGGCCGGGCUGUCCCGGAUCCCGGACACCGAUGGCUUCCUGGUGAACACGGUCGAGUCGUUGGAGGCUCGCGCGGUGGACGCUCUCAGGGACCCUCGGUGCCUCCCCGCUGGCCGGGUCAUGCCCCCGGUGUACUGCGUCGGACUCGGGCCAUUCCUCGGCGGCAUCGAGAGCGAGGCGGACGAGCGGCACGAGUGUCUCGCCUGGCUAGACGCGCAGCCGGACCGCAGCGUGGUGUUCCUCUGCUUCGGGAGCACAGGCGCAGCGAACCACUCUGCGGAGCAGCUCAAGGAGAUCGCCACCGGCCUGGAGAAGUCCGGCCACCGGUUCCUGUGGGUCGUGCGAGCGCCCCACGGCGGCGACCCGGACCUCGAUGCGCUCCUCCCGGACGGGUUCCUGGAGCGCACCGGCAGCCGCGGCCGCGUCGUCAAGCAGUGGGCGCCGCAGGCCGAGGUGCUCCGCCACGGGGCCACCGGCGCGUUCGUGACGCACUGCGGGUGGAACUCGGUGCUGGAGGGCGUGGCGGCGGGCGUGCCGAUGCUGUGCUGGCCGCUCCACGCGGAGCAGAAAAUGAACAAGCUGCUGAUGGUGGGGGAGAUGGGGCUCGCAGCGGAGAUGGUCGGGUGGCAGCGUGGGCUGGUGGAGGCCGCCGAGGUGGAGCGCAAGGUGAGGCUGGUCAUGGAGUCCGAGGAGGGCAGGCAGCUCAGGGCGCGCGCGGCGCAGCACCAGGAGGGCGCGGCCGCGGCCUGGAGCGACGGCGGGUCGUCGCGCGCGGCGCUGGCUUUGUUCUUGUCGGACGUGGACCGCCGGUGGCAGGCUCGGGCUCGCGGCGGGGAAGCUGCGUGA
rnacentral:rRNA from 1 species